AAUUCUAAGAAAUAAGGCUUGCUGGGGAGGCCUGCGGGGACAUCUAAUAUUCUUUCUCUCUGAACUCUGUGCCCCAAAGUCGUGAACUUGCCUGUUGGGGAUUCUGAGUGAAUGCUGGAAAUCCAGAUUCGUUGGGGCCAGAGUUUGCCCUGCGCAUGAGGGAGAGGGUGUGGGGUAUGGGCAGAGGUGGCAAGGGAGGCUUUGUGAAACGUUACACUCUGCUUCCUCAACUGCAGGCCAUUUCUCUGGGCCAGGAGCCAGCUGUUCCCAAAAUGGCCACGAUGCCUCAGGAGGGAGGUUGACACCCUGUGCUCUCAGAAGCAGCUCAGAGCUCAGAGGCAGACCUCUACUCAUGCAAUUCUGCCUUCUGUGCAUGCAAUGGAUUGCUGCCAUCUCCAAUCAGCCACAAUGGGAGGCCACCUGCUAGACAUGGAAGAGCCACCGGAUGGAAGAAGCCUGGGUCUCUGAAAUACUGCUUGGAGUAGACUACUCUGCCUGCAAACUAGGAGCACUGAUUUUGGACUUUUUGGGAGGGACUUCUAUGCCCUCUGCAGUUUGCCUCUUCCUCUGCUAUUUUUUCAUGUAUGUGUAUGUUUUUUGCCUGUAUUUGCAAUGCCAGCCAUCAUUUGCCAUGUCUUCUAGCGGCAACCUGCAUUUAGCCCAGAUCUGCUGUGAUUAUUCCUUUUCACAAACCACAAUGACUCUGGAAAACCUGGCUGUAAACACCAGCACUGCCACCAGCUAAGGAUCUGUGAUCAGGAGUGCCAUCUCACGGUAACAGGCAGAAGACAAAAGUGAAACCGGGCUGAUGCGAAUCACUGGGAAACUGGCUUUGGCACCUCCAGAGAAUGAACUGUUUCAUAGCCUAGCUGACCAUCCAUGAAAAUGGCUGCCUGGAGAGGCAGUGAUCAGCCCAUCCCUGCAGGGUGAAGAUAAGCUUGUGCAGGCCACUGGCUAACACAGUUCAUCCCAUGCCUCCUACAUACCAAGCACUGUGCCAGGCACUUUUCACGUCUGGCAUCCUCAGAAUCCUCCAAAAGGAGAGGUUCGUGGAGGAUAAUGCUGUCAGGCUUGGAAGCAGCAGUAGAGAUCACGUUGCCCAGCUCUUGGCAUCAUUGGUUCCCAAAGCUCUGAAUCCCCUGGAGAGCUUUUGUAAAAGGUCGGAUUCAGACAAUCCGGUGGAGCACUCUGAAAUUUAGAGGAAGUGGUCAAAUAGAAUUUUCUGGAAUUAUGGAAAUCUUCUAUUCUGUGCAUCUAGUAUAGUAGAAUCUAGUCACAUGUGGCUUUUGAGAACUGGAAAUAUGGCUAAUGCAACAGAGAAAGUGAAUUUUUACUUUUGAUUCAUUUAAAUAUAAAUGGUCACAUAUGACAUCACUGCCAUAUUGGACAUUGCAGUUCUGGAAGAUGGCAGAUGCAGCCCUCAGAAGAAUUAUCAGCCUGAAUGUCUGGGCGGAGCAGAGCACUACCUUCCCACUCACUCUUCCCCUCCUCUCGCCCCCUCCCCUGCCUCACUUGCAUCAGAUUAUGAUGUGAGCAAAAGCAGGAAACAGCUCUUUUGAUAGGCCUGUGAGACUUGCUGUUCGUUGGAGUAGCUAGGCUGCUCUGACUCAUACAGACCCAAAUCCUGGCAACCACUUUUAUGAAGAAAUGACAAUUCAGUCUACUACUUGUCCAUUUUACAUGCCCAAGGAAUGUGAGGGGCCUCUGCUUGGAUCUAGUUUUCAACCUAGUCUAUGGCAUUGAUUAUCCUUUUAAAAGACAAAAGAGGUGACUUCACGGGCACUUAACAUCUUGGCCAUACUGACCCCAGUUGCACGCUACGUAGGAAGUUUUAGUCCAUUUAAACUGAAGUUCCAAUUUUUUUUUUAACAACUAUUUAAAAAUUGUACAUGUCCCAUACAUGACAGAGAAAGGGUUGUCUGGUUGGAUGAUUUUUGGCUUGCAAAAAGAGAACACAAAAGAAAAGCAUACGUUUUAAUACUCAAGAGACCAAAUUUUCUGCUGAAGAGGAAAUGAACUACAUAUCCAGAAGGGUCCUACCAAGAGGCCAAACAGACUGUGUUCUCUUGGGGGAGUUCUCAGUGGUGAUGAGAACACCACUUUUUUUUUUUUUUUAGUCAUUUUCAAGGUGAGAUAUUGACUUGCUGCUGGAGCAGGACAACUGGUCUCUCUUUCAUUGCUAGCAGCAGAGUAAGGGUCUUGCAAGUUUCAGGCAGCAGCAGAGAAAGGGUCUUGCAAGUUUCAGUCCAAAGCAAGAAGAGCUAGGAUUGCACCAGCUGUCUCACCUACUCUGUGCUCACCUGUUUCUGGAUGAAGCACGGUGACAUCUGUUUUAUUGUAAAGAGAACCAACUUUGGAAUCAAAUGGAACCUGUAUUAAAAUCCUGAAUCCGUCACUAGCUUGGACAAGUCACUUCACUUCUCUGAACCUUGUUUUAUUCCAGUUAAGAAUAAUAGUAAGCCAGUCCCACAGAGCUGUAGCAAGGUUAAAAUGAAUGGUUGUCUGUAGAAGCAUUUAAAAUAGGGCUUCAUACAGAGCCAGUACCUGGGGAGACUGAGGGUUUGAACCACAUAGUUCCACUCUGGCAAAUCACAGAGGGGCUGUAGGAUGGUCCUUUAAGGGGGAUGUGUUAUGGGUUAAUUGGAACAGUGCUUCUUAAACUCCAGUGUGCAUUCAUAUUGCUUAGGGGUUUUGUUUAAAUGCAGAUUCUGAGUUACUAGGAUUAUGCAAUUUGAAUGAGCUUGCAGAUAAUUUCAUGGCUGCUGGUCUCUGACAUCACCUUUGAGAAGCAAAGAAUUAAAGGUCCUGUCCUGAUCUGUCUCCUUCUCCUGUUAUCUGUGCAAAAGAGAUAUACUGUCUACUUUGCAUAGUGAGAUGGCAGGUACAAAAGUAGGAUGAGGAUAAUGUAGCAUGAGCACAGAGAAGGAAAACCUAGGAGGAUGAGUAAAGAAAUCAUGGGAAAAGAGAUAGAUUCAAGGCUUUCAAUCCUGACUAGACUUUAAAUUCACCUGGAGAGCUUUAAAAAAACUAGCCAUUGUCUGGUCCCAGGAAUACUGAUUUAAUUGAUUAGGAUGGGACCAGACAUGACAUGUUAAAGAAAAUAACUCCCCAGAUUAUUCUAGUGUGUAGCCAGGGUUAAGAACUGCUGGGCUAGACAAAUGAGACAACUUUCCCAGAUGGAAAGAAUCAGGAAGGGGCCUUAUCAAGAUAUUAUGUCAGGUUUGGUUUUCAGGGGGCUGAUAGGAAAGAAAAAGAAAUGCUUCAUGGAAAUUGCAGGUAAGACAGGCCAAUUGGUUGAAACCUUGACAAAUCAGACCAUUUGAUCAAAUUGUUCCCAAAAUAUGAAAACUCUGUCUCAACCGAAAUAAUCACUUAGCUCUGGGACUCUAAAGCAACCUGUUUGUCUGUUGGGAAGCUAGGGUAAAUGUGAGAAGUGAAAUCCAUGCCAUUUUUUGGAACUGGAGACUUUUUAAUAAUUUCAUUAACAUUGUCAGUUUGGUUGUCCUCUGUGAUCAGAAGCUGUCGAAUGAUGUUCAUUUGAGUACAGAAGCCAGCCCUUUCUGUAGCAUUAACCAGGCCUCAGUCCAGUGGAUCUCUACAGGGUGCCACGAGCCCAGCACAAGUGCUCCAACACAUUCUGACCAAUGAGCAUAAUUAAUUUGUUGUAAUUGACUUUACACUCUUGAAGCCCAGGUGUAGACUUCCUUCUUGUUACCAGAAGCCAGCUCAGACAUGGCCCUUUGCCAGCCUCAACACAAAGCUCAGCUCUCUUCCAGGGUUCCCUAAGAUCUAGGCACGUCAAGCAUCUGAAAAUAAUAUGGUUUUACAGAAGAUUCCUUACAUCCUGCGGUGGGGCCAGCUCAGGCACUGAACAACGUUUUGUUUGAGCAAUCCCCAUUGGACACAUCUCUCCCCCGAAUCCCUGUCUGCACAGCCAAUAAGGUGAUUCUCCUCUGUCACCCUCCUUAGCCCUUGCCCAUUCUUUUAUUCCUUUACAAGACAGCUGGGUUUAGCCCUGUCCUAAGUGCUCCACACUCGGCUGCCUGCACCCAGGCAUAGCAAACACAAAGCCCUUCGGAACCCCAGGCCCACCCUCUUUAGAUACAUGUUAUAAACUGUUACUGUUGAUGAGGUCAUUCCAGUGGGUGUCAAGCUGGGCACAGCUUCUGGUAAGAAGAAGAAAGCAUAGCAGAUUCACAUCUCAGCCAAAGAACCUGGCUGUGAAAAGCCUUUGCCUAAAAGGUCAUGCAGUCCACAGUUCUGCCACACAACUGCAGCCUGGAAUCACAUGGGGAGUUCUUAAAAUGCUGAUGGCUGGGCUGUACCCCUGAAAUUCUGAUUUAAUUGGCCUGGGGUGUGGCCUGGGCAUUAGAGUUUUGUUAAAGUUCCCAAGUCAUUCCUGCCAUGCUGCCAAAUUUGAGAGACGUUGUUCUAAAGAGGCUUAGCGAUAAAGGCCAAGUGAAAAGGACAACCAGUCCUACGUUAUAGUUGCAAUUGCUUUGUCCUUAUUACUGACCUGUUUGGUCUUGUUUUGAGUCUUUUAAUCCCUUCAACUGAACUCUCCAAAAUUCUACUAUUGGACAGUAUAGCACAGAAAGUUUGGG
rnacentral:lncRNA from 10 species